GAAAAAUAUUCCCUACUGAGGCAAGGGGCGCGCGUCGAUCAGGAGAGACGUCGCAUUAAGAGAGGCUUCUUCUCUUCGCGGAAGCUAUAUCGCGGGAAGCAACCGAAAGAGCGCGACUGAGAGCGAGGAGUGGCCCGGUCGCUUGGCCACGCCUGAGCCCCGCUCGCCGACGGCCGGCCGUUCCCGACCUCGCUACCCCCGUGCUCGAACGUCCGGAUUUUCGAGAACCUCGACAAGAAUGGCAAUGGCCAGUGUGCCUCGAGAAGCUCAAUUGGCUGUUAGAGAAAAAUGGUGUCCAUCACCAUGUGGGCGAGCUCGAAUCAUCAAUGGGAAAACUGAACCUCGACAUUGACGAAUUCUAGUACGUUUACGACUAUAUGGUCGGAAGGAACCACAAGGAGCGGUUGAUUAGAAAAUUGCCGCAGGGCAAUGAAGGAGACUGCAAUCAAGAGACUGACCUCGACCUCGAGGAGGCGUUCGAAGAGUUCGAUUGAAUGACUAUGAUUUUAUAUCCUGCGAGGAUCUCCGGAGCGUCCUCUCGAGACUAGGGUUAUGGGACGAGAGAAGUGGGAGAGACUACAAUAGCAUCAUUUGCGCAUACCAUACUAAUAGCGAUGGGAGGCUCAAUUUUAAGGAAUUUAAGCAUGAUGUCGAUAACAAUUUCUUAUUUACGAGAACAAGAUACGUCAUGAGUUGGAUUUGCUUUCAUACAUCUUAUUGGUUCUAUAUACAUUUAUAGCUCCAUUAUUUUAUGUAGCUUUUACCGUUA